CAUAGCGACUAUCGUGGCAUAUCAAUAAGCGGAGGAAAAGAAACUAACAAGGAUUCCCUUAGUAACGGCGAGUGAAGCGGGAAGAGCUCAAAUUUGAAAUCUUCAAGGUUCUACCUUGACGAAUUGUAGUUUAUAGAAGUGUUUUCUGUUAGUAGAGUGGCAAAAGUUCUUUGGAAUAGGACAUCAUAGAGGGUGAGAAUCCCGUAUUUGGUCAUUCCUUCUAGCGUUGUGAUACACUUUCAACGAGUCGGAUUGUUUGGGAUGCAGUCCAAAAUGAGUGGUAAAUUUCAUCUAAAGCUAAAUAUUGGCGAGAGACCGAUAGCGAACAAGUACCGUGAGGGAAAGAUGAAAAGAACUUUGAAAAGAGAGUUAAACAGUACGUGAAAUUGUCAAAAGGGAAGCGUUUGACACCAGUGUUGUUUUUCCGAAAAUCAAUUACGAAUGUUUUGUUUUUGAGGAGUUAUGACUUCAUCGGCUUGCUUCUCUCUUUACGAAACUUUCUUAAUGCACUUUUCGGUUAACAAGUCAACAUCAAUUUCUUUUGUUGUAAAAGGGUAUGAGGAAGGUGGCUUUCUUUUCGGAGAAAGUGUUUAUAGCCUUGUACCUCUGCAAUCGGAGAGAUUGAGGUCUGCAGCGUAGAUCCUUCGGGGUUAGAUACAUUUGUGCUAAGUUAUAGCUUUUCAUAGACAACUUGUUGACUAUGUUAAGUCUUGUAGCUUACUCGCUUAUGCUAUUUUACCUACGCUUAGGAUGUUGACGAGACUGUCGAUCUC
rnacentral:rRNA from 1 species